GCCCCAAUAGCUCAGUCGGUAGAGCAACGCAUUCGUAAUGCGUAGGUCGCUGGUUCAAGUCCGGCUUGGGGCA
rnacentral:tRNA from 1 species